GAUAAACGCUGGCGGCGUGCAUGAGACAUGCAAGUCGAACGGACGACCUCGGGCUUGCUCGGGGUCGUUAGUGGCGAACGGCUGAGUAACGCGUGGGUGACCUGCCCGGAAGUGGGGAAUAACUGCCCGAAAGGGUGGCUAAUACCGCAUAUGGCCAUACGUUCGUUCGUAUGACCAAAGCCGCAAGGCGCUUCCGGAGGGGCCUGCGUUCGAUUAGCUCGUUGGUGGGGUAACGGCUCACCAAGGCGACGAUCGAUAGGUGGUCUGAGAGGAUGAUCACCCAGACUGGGACUGAGACACGGCCCAGACUCCUACGGGAGGCAGCAGUCGGGAAUUUUGCUCAAUGGGCGAAAGCCUGAAGCAGCAACGCCGCGUGAGGGAUGAAGGCCUUCGGGUUGUAAACCUCUUUUCCCAGGGACGAUGAUGACGGUACCUGGGGAAUAAGCCACGGCUAACUACGUGCCAGCAGCCGCCGUAAUAC
rnacentral:rRNA from 1 species